UCUCCUUUUUCUGAGAAACUUCAAAGUUUAAUCUUCCUUUUAGAAACUAUUGGGACGACUGCCAACAGCUCCUGCAGGCCCCUUUUCCUUAUGAGGAGAGGGAAAGGAUUCUGAGGGAAGCUAGGAAAUCGGUGCCUGUGAGAACAGGUGGCCCAGCACUAGUCUGGCGAUCACUGAGGCUGUUUCCCCAUCAUUCCACCCUGACUGGAACCCCAACACUGAUGGAGGCUAGAACAGGGCACCAGACCUCAUUACAGAUGGUUGUGAGCCACCAUGUGGUUGUCGGGAAUUGAACUCAGGACUUUUGGAAGAACAGGCAAUGCUCUUAACCACUGAGCCAUCUCUCCAGCCCCCUCUGUUUGCCUUUGAAUGGACUGACCUGGAGACUUGUUUCAAUGGACACUUGACUUGGACUCACUUGCACCAAAGAUUCAGAACUCUCCCAGUCUUUCUAACGAAGCUUUAAAUGCAGAUUUGUGUGAGUACUGCCUUACUUUCUCCCAGGUUGUGCUUCUGCAAUAUGUGGGUAACUUAUUGACUGUGGCAUGAAUGAGAUGGACCACGAAGAAGCUACAGAGGGACUGUCAAGAACUCUGGAGAUGCUGGGAUGUUGUGUCUGCAAAGAAGGCACAACUCUGCACUCAGAAAGCUUUAUACCUGGGGUUUGACCUCCAAGAAGGAAAGAGCUCUCUGUCCAUGCCAAAGACGCUACUUUGGGUAUAGCAAUGCCAAUGACAAAGAGACAAAUAAGAGAGCUCCAGGGAACGGCAGGGCACCGCAGACUCUGGAUUGGCUGAAAUUGUCAAACCUCUGUAUGAGGUGGCAAGUGCUGGAGGGUAAGUCCCCAUGAACCGAGUCAGAAGAUAAAGCUCUGCUAUUGACACCAGCACCCGCAUUGGCCUUGCCUGGUGUUGCCAAGCCUUUCUACCUAUCUGUAGAUGAAAAGAAGACCAGGGCUAAGGUGGUAUUAACCCAGAAACUUGGACCUUGACGUUGUCUUGUGGUCUACUUACCAAAGAAAUUAGAUCCAGUGGUUGGUGAGUCAGCUUGCUUGAGAAUUAUUGCAGCCACUGCCCUUCUAACUACAGAUGCUGGCAAACUGACUCUCGAACAGAAUUUGACUAUUACCACCCCCACGUAAUACA